CGCCUCCUGAAACAAAAACAUAGGAGGUCCCGCCUGCCCAGUGACUAUAAGUUUAACGGCCGCGGUAUUUUGACCGUGCAAAGGUAGCGCAAUCACUUGUCUUUUAAAUGAAGACCUGUAUGAAUGGCAUCACGAGGGCUCAACUGUCUCCUUUCUCCUGUCAAUGAAAUUGAUCUCCCCGUGCAGAAGCGGGGAUACCCACAUAAGACGAGAAGACCCUAUGGAGCUUUAGGCACCAGAACAGACUAUGUUAAGCACCCUACUCAUAAAAGACAAAACUAAUUAGACCCUGUUCCAAUGCUUUUGGUUGGGGCGACCGCGGGGAAACAAAAACCCCCCAUGUGGACUAGGAGCAACCUCUACUCCCACAACCCAGGGCUACAACCCUAAGUAACAGAAUUUCUGACCAUAAAUGAUCCGGCACAGCCGAUCAACGAACCGAGUUACCCUAGGGAUAACAGCGCAAUCCCCUUCUAGAGUCCAUAUCGACAAGGGGGUUUACGACCUCGAUGUUGGAUCAGGACAUCCUAUUGGUGCAGCCGCUAUUAAGGGUUCGUUUGUUCAACGAUUAAAGUCCU
rnacentral:rRNA from 1 species